rnacentral:rRNA from 1 species
GACGAACGCUGGCGGCGUGCCUAAUACAUGCAAGUCGAACGCAGUGGGGACGGGUGAGUAACACGUGGGUAACCUCCCAUCAGAGGGGAUAACACUUGGAAACAGGUGCUAAACCGCUACUGAUGGAUGGACCCGCGGUGCAUUAGCUAGUUGGUGAGGUAACGGCUCACCAAGGCCACGAUGCAUAGCCGAGCUGCGAGGGUGAUCGGCCACACUGGGACUGAGACAGGGCCCAGACUCCUUCGGGAGGCAGCAGUAGGGUAUCUGCGGCAAUGCACGAAAGUCUGACCGAGCAACGCAUCGUGAGUGAAUAAGGUUAGCGGAUCGUAAACUCCUUUGGUUAGGGAAGCGGUACCUAACGAGUAAGCACCGGCUAACUCCGUGCCAGCAGCCGCGGUAAUUC